AUUGAACGCUGGCGGCAUGCCUUACACAUGCAAGUCGAACGGCAGCACGGGGGCAACCCUGGUGGCGAGUGGCGAACGGGUGAGUAACAUAUCGGAACAUACCCUAGAGUGGGGGAUAACGUAGCGAAAGUUACGCUAAUACCGCAUACGAUCUAAGGAUGAAAGUGGGGGAUCUUCGGACCUCAUGCUCAUGGAGUGGCCGAUAUCUGAUUAGCUAGUUGGUGAGGUAAAGGCUCACCAAGGCGACGAUCAGUAGCUGGUUUGAGAGAACGACCAGCCACACUGGAACUGAGACACGGUCCAGACUCCUACGGAGGCAGCAGUGGGGAAUUUUGGACAAUGGGGGCAACCCUGAUCCAGCAAUGCCGCGUGAGUGAAGAAGGCCUUCGGUU
rnacentral:rRNA from 1 species